CUUUCCAAGUAAGUGGCGAACGGGUGAGUAACACGUGAAUAACCUACCUCAAAGACUGGGAUAACCAUUGGAAACAGUGACUAAUACCGGAUAAAACCCAGUAGCACAUGCUACAAGGUUAAAAGCUGCGUUUGCAGCGCUUUAAGAUGGAUUCGCGGUGCAUUAGUUAGUUGGUGAGGUAAAGGCUCACCAAGACAAUGAUGCAUAGCCGAGUUGAGAGACUGACCGGCCACAUUGGGACUGAGACACGGCCCAAACUCCUACGGGAGGCUGCAGUAGGGAAUCUUCCACAAUGGGCGCAAGCCUGAUGGAGCAACGCCGCGUGUGUGAUGAAGGCUUUCGGGUCGUAAAGCACUGUUGUAUGGGAAGAACGGGUUUAAGAGGAAAUGCUUAAGCAGUGACGGAACCAUACCAGAAAGGGACGGCUAAAUACGUGCCAGCAGCCGCGGUAAUACGUAUGUCCCGAGCGUUAUCCGGAUUUAUUGG
rnacentral:rRNA from 1 species